rnacentral:rRNA from 1 species
GCCUACGGGAGGCAGCAGUGAGGAAUAUUGGUCAAUGGGCGGGAGCCUGAACCAGCCAAGUCGCGUGAGGGAAGACGGUCCUAUGGAUUGUAAACCUCUUUAGGCGGGGAGCAAUGCCGGGCACGCGUGCCCGGAGGGAGAGUACCCGCAGAAUAAGCGUCGGCUAACUCCGUGCCAGCAGCCGCGGUAAUACGGAGGAUGCGAGCGUUAUCCGGCUUUAUUGGGUUUAAAGGGUGCGUAGGCGGAUUUUUAAGUCAGCGGUAAAAUGUCCGGGCUCAACCCAGGCCGGCCGUUGAAACUGGGGG